UACGUAGGGGGCAAGCGUUGUCCGGAAUCAUUGGGCGUAAAGCGCGUGUAGGCGGCUUGGUAAGUCCGGUGUGAAAACUUGGGGCUCAACCCCAAGCGUGCACCGGAUACUGCCUCGCUCGAGUCCGGGAGAGGGAAGCGGAACUCCUAGUGUAGCGGUGAAAUGCGCAGAUAUUAGGAAGAACACCGGUGGCGAAGGCGGCUUCCUGGAACGGUACUGACGCUGAGACGCGAAAGCGUGGGGAGCAAACAGGAUUAGAUACCCUGGUAGUCCACGCCGUAAACGAUGGGCACUAGAUGUGGGCGGUGUCGACUCCGUCCGUGUCGAAGCUAACGCAUUAAGUGCCCCGCCUGGGGAGUACGGCCGCAAGGCUAAA
rnacentral:rRNA from 1 species